UUAAGGUAUAAUUUUUAAAUAUAAUAUAUUUUCUGUAUUAAAUAAAAUGAAAAAAUAAAUUAAAAGACAUAAUUCUGAAAAGCAAUUAGCUUAAACGGUAAGCUACAAGUCCGGCCCUAUUUAUAUACCAACAUUCCAAUACAAUGCCAUUUAUUGCCGCUCUUCUUCUUCGCUUUCUCUGUCUCAAAACAUGUCGAUAUUUUCCUGCUCCAAGUUUCAUUUGAAUUUGUCUACUUAGCUUUGGGAUGUGGGGCAGCUGCAUUUCUUUAGGUCCCUUGUUUGGUGAAAGACAGCCUUCUCGAAUAAUACUAUUUUGCAGCAAGAUUUAGCUUUCUGUGACAAGGAAACCAAUAUGGGAGAGGUGGUGGGGCGGAUGUCUGGUGACACUGUUCUUGUACAAGACGCAAUGGGGGGAGUAGGUACUCAUGCUGAAAAAGCUACUCUACUAAGCCCUUCUUUGUGAAACCACUACAUAGUAGGGAAAUUUGUACAGCUGAUAUUAACAUGCCUUGCGGGCUUUGUCAUUGCAUUUACCAAAGGCUGGCUUCUCACAGUUGUUAUGUUAUCCAUCAUUCCUCUACUUGUCAUCUUUGGUGGAGUGAUGUCCCUCAUCCUAUCUAGGAUGGUGCCCCGUGGACAAGAUGCUUAUGCCAAGGCAGCAAGACAAUAGGCUCCUUUAAAAUGAAAAUAACCACCAGUAGAUGAGAUUGAUCUUGUUUCCUCGUCAGGCUGCAUCUUUUACAGGGGAGAAGCAAGUUGUGGCCAGCUAUAACGAGUCCCUAAUUAAAGAUUACCAUUCAGGGUCAAAUGAAGGGCUGGCAAGUGGAUUAGGUCUUGGGUCACAUUUUGCUAUUAUGUACUCCAGCUAUGCUUUGGCUAUCUGGUACGGUGCAAGGUUCAUCUUGGAAAAAGAUAUAUUGGUGGUCAAGUUCUCUAUGUUUCUGACACGAAGCUUCUCCAAUAAGUAGCAAGCAAUUUACUUUUUAAGGUUGUGUGUACUGAAGGACCAUAGAAAAUUAGAGAACUGGGUGUUAUGGGUGCUUAUGGGGAGAAUGGCAAUCUGCAUCUAGCCAGGGAAGGGGGCCGCUCCCAUCGCCGAAUUGUCUUUGCUGCUGAUAUGAUAGGCAGAGAGAUAGAAAGGGCCCUAUUAGAGGCAGUUGUUAAGAAUCCUAAUCGAUAUGUAUUUGAACACCAUUUUGCUGUAGAUUUGUUGACCACUCAGGACGACAAAUAUUUGUACCUUGAAAUUGAUGAUUGUAGACAAGAUGUUGGUACAACAGCCCAAAGAGGGUCUUGCAUUCUCUGAAAAGGGCCUCUACUAAGAAUCGCCCUUGUGCAUCCCAGUGUCUCCUUCAAAAUUGUUGGUAUUUAAAGCUGUUGUCCAGUGGGUUUGGGAUUCAUCUGAGUUCCCUUAAUAAAUCGAAUGCAAGCGAUGGUUCAUUCAAGUUCCCAGGAUACAUCUCAGGUCCUGAUGUUUACACAGUGAAGGGAGUUGAGGAGCAUUAAGCGAAUGCUUGAGGCUAUUUGGAGUUCAAUUUGGUCGGGGGUUGUUAUCCUGUAUGAUUUCACAAGGGUUUUUGAGGAGUUGGUUUUCAACCGCCUCAAUGCUGGUGCCACCAAGGAUCUAGUGUCUCACGAGAUGGACUGGUGUUGAUGGAAGAAAGAUAUGGUAAUCUUUUUGCAAAAUGUUGGACUGACAUCAUCUCUUCUAUUGUAUUGAUGCUUCUGUACAUAAUUUAUUAUGCCCGAAAACUAUGUUGUUCAUAACUUGGAAUGAUUGUUAUUGUCUAUAGGAUUGCAUGUAUUAUCUCAACUGAUAGGCUGUUUGACGGUUUGUGUUCAUUAAUAACUUUUUACAGAUGUUCUUUUAUUUAUUAUUUUGUGGUUUACUUGUAAUUGGGAAAACUUCAUAUAAUUGCCAUUUACCAGAAUUUUUAUUGCACCAACUUUUGCAACAUUCAUUAAAUUUAGACCUCCUAACUCUGAGCAUGAAGUUAUAUGUUUUGGUUAAAGCAGGAACUUAAAUCUGAUUCACGAGCAGCCAACAUCUGUCACACUUCUUGCGGGUAACAUUCUCUAAUACUUGUCUCUGCCAUAUUAUACAUUCAAAAAGUUAAGUACAUGUAAACCAUUUUCAAAUCAGUCUUAGAAGGGAAAGGUAUUGUAGUACUGAUUAGUUGCUCACCUACAUUCUCAAACCUUUUACUACACUUUAUAGCUUAUUCUCUUCAACAUUCAUAUUUCUCCCUCUGAAGGAUAUAUGCCUGUCUAAAUAUGGAAAACAAAGCAUGACAAGAACUUCUUCUCAGGCUUGUUAUUCCAUUCUGAGGUAUCAAUAACAGUUCAUAUCAGUUCUGUGUUCCAUUUUGUUAAAAGCAAGAAUGAUUUUUGAGGGUUUAAGGUUUUCAAGUGUCAUUUGUGCGCAUUGUCUCUUAAGGUCCAUUUUAUGUUUUAAUUGGGUUGAUUAUAGUAAGUGAAUUAUGAUUUGUAACUUAUAACUUAUAAGGGAAGAUCUUUUCUAUUCUAAUACCAUCAGUGACAAGACAAUGCUAGAAGUUCUCUCUUUUUGAAUUAUAAGGCCUUGAAGCUUGAAUAGCUUCCAACUUAAUUUGGAAAACUAUUCAUGACAUCAUUCAUGUUUUAGGAAAUACUCCACUAGCUAACAAAAUUCUCUUGCACGUGUUUCAUAAGAAAAUAAUUGUUUUCUUGAUAAUACAGGUUCCGUGUAUUUUGUGCGUUAAUCUAACUGAUGUGGGUCUAUUAGAAUUUAUUCAGUAGGUUAGUCCAUCAACACUAUAACUAGCUCUCAUAUUUUACUCCUUCAUUUAACUCUAAUCUUUCUCCUGGAAUCUUGCUUAGGUUCUUGUGUAAAUGCCGUGACAUGUUCUCUGAAUAAUAUAUUUGCAACCCGCAGCUUGUUGAUACAGAUAGAUCAUCAAUAGUACCCCCAUCAGUGAAUCGGUUCCUGAAUAAACAAGGCUUGCAGGAGUAAGUUAAUGUUUUAUAUAUGAAUCUGGAGCUACCUUGAUGCUCUCGCCUCCACUCACCCCCCACCCCCCCACACACACACCACACACACACAUAUUAUACAUUCAAAAAGUUAAGAACAUGUCACUUGUUCAUUUUUUUCCCCAUGUUUAUUGUGCAAUCAAAUAGCCAGAAAUGGGGUGCAGCAUUAUAUCCCUUUGUUGGCUCCAUUGAUACUGAUUUUCUUAAUCAGAUAAAGUUGUUUUGUUGUGUUUUUCAAGAAUCUCUUAUGGUGACUGGUUGGUUCUUAAUGUUACUUGUAAGAUUAGCGCCCCGGCCUUCUCUUUAUUGAAGAUAUUGUCGCGAAUCUCUGGACUGCAAGUAACUCUGUCGAUAUGCCUGUGAAUUAUGAGAUCCGGAAAAAGAGGUACGGGGCCAGAGUUGCAAAGCGACACUUGAACUUUCUUCCCUACAGCCAAGAAAACUAAGUGGAGAGUGCACUAUCAGGAAAUCCAGAUUCCUCUAUCAGAUCGAAAGUUCAAGUCGGUAAAUUGAUGGAUCUCUUGCUCAUUGCACAGUGUGUUAACUGGAAAUCCAGAAACUUUGCGCAACUCCUUUCAUCUAAUGCUUUGCCUAUAGAGGAUGAUUUCCUGGAUAACAAAUUCAGUUCUUCAGCUAGCUCCAGUUAUAAAUCAGACUGCCUGUUACGUUCAGGAUGGGAGGAUGAGUCUAUUGUAGCUGGCAGAUCAAUGGAGAAUGCCUCAUCCAGGGAGUCUCUUGAACUUGAUGACAGUUCAAAUGUGAUGCAUGAGAGAAAGAAACCAUAUAUGCAAAGCUGUUCAUUGGACAGAAGCCUGAUACAUGAUGGAUCAUCUUUUGCUAGUGAUGAAGAUCUCUGUAAAUCCAGACAAACCUCUAUGGAAGCUGCAGAGUAAAGGAGUAUUCUCUGUCAAAUCAUGCUACUGGAACAACAACAUCAGCUUCUCUUCCACUAGAAUUUUGCCUUGGAAACUAAUCUGGAAAAUUAAAAUCCCCCUGAAGGUGUCCUGUUUUAUAUGGCUGGUGAUCAGGAGAGCUUGCCCAACCCAUGAAGCACUACAGAGAAGAGGUUUGCCGAUUUGGUCAAGGUGUUUUCUUUGUGACAAGGAGGCAGAGGUAAACAACCACCUCUUCCUACACUGCAUAACAGCUGUAAAUAUGUGGAACAUGUUCUUAUGUAUGCUUGGAGUAAACUGGACAAUGCCUAAGAACACUUUUGAUUUACUGAGGAGCUGGGAGACAAUUGGAAGAAGAAAUUAUGAGGAAGACUAGUGGAAACUAAUUCCAGCCUGUAUUUAGUGGACCUUAUGGAGGGAAAGAAAUGCAAGGUGUUUUGAAGGCAAAAUCAACAACAUCCAGAGGAUCAGAAUGAACUGCAUAAGCCUUCUUUAUUUUUGGUGUAAACAAGAUAUGGUGGGGGAUAUAGAUGUGUUAGUUGACUUCAUAGGAAAACUGUAAAACCUUAGACCUGACUGGUUGUUUCUUUUUUGCUAUGCCCAGUGAGGGUUGCAACUAACCAUCUCAUCAUUUUUGGAUGAUGUUAUCAUGUGAAUACAAAGUUACCUUUAUCAAAAAAAAGUUUGAAAAAAGUGACUACAGAAAUAAAUGAAAUUGCCUUGAAGAUGAUUGUAGUUUUGAAUUUGAAGGAGCUGAUGAUGUUAACCAGGUCUUAAAUCAAAGGUCUCCUAGAGGCAAGGCCAAGGAAAUAUAUUAUGAGAACUUUUCCAGGUGCAAAACUCAGAGCAAGGCAUUGUGGAGUCAAAAUUUGUCACGAGAUUCAGAAAAAUAUUCAUUAUCCAAGGACAUUCUGGAUGAAGACUAUCAUCUUAUGGAUUUCAUGGUUCUGGUCUGCUAUCUUUUAGUCCAGAACUGUCUCCUCUGCCACCAGAUCCUUUGCUCGGGACCAGGUUUCAAGAUUUUAAUCCUUACAUCUCCGAAAAUGGGAUUGAAACUUCUGUUAGACAUGAAGUUGUUGUCACAUACAAUUUAGGAAACAUGGAACAUAAUCUCUUGGCCCCUGCGAUAAAUAAUUUGGAAAAAGAGGACUGCUUGUUCCCAAAUUCUGCAAAGUUUGAUCUCAAUUUUUAUGCUCUUUCUAGAUAGGAUAUAGCCAGUAUAGGGGCACUUGAUCCAUGUGAUGUUUAUAUUUCAGGUCCUUCUGAAUUCUAUUAUGAUGGAGAUGAUUUGACACAUGCAUUCUCAUGGUGAAGAGAAUCUUAGGAAUUAUUUGAUACCACGAGCUAUGCUCUCCUCUAGGGUGGAUGGGGACUGCAUAAAUGGAUUGAUGCUGGAAAUUGAGGAAAAACAGAUGAAGCUUAUAAGGUUAUAAGGUAGAAGAAGAGUAGAAGAAGCCAUUCAGCUCCUCUAUUUUACCAAGGCAAGAAAGUUCUUUGUCAAGAAAAUUAGAGCGGUAAGGAGACUGCAUCAUUCUGCAGAAGCUAUCUACUCGGAGCUUCCACAGCAGUCAUCCCAUCAAUGUAAUCAAUCUUCCACCCCAAGUUGUGGCGAUGGUUUAUUUUCUGAUGAAAGGCCAAGUGUGAAUUUAACUGACGUGGAUCUGUUAGAAUUUCUUCAACAGGUUAGUUCAUCGACACUAACUAGCUCUCAUAUUUUACUUCUUCAUUUAACUCUAAUCUUUCUCAUGGAAUUUUGCUUAUGUUCUUGCUUAUAUACCGUGUCAUGUUCUCUGAAUAAUGUAUUUGUAACCCACAACUUGCUGGGACAGAUGGAUCAUCAAUAGUACACCCCAAUUGGUGAAUCGGGUGCUGAAUUUAAUUUAUGUAUUCUGAUCUACCUUGAUGCCCCCCACAUAAAAAGAAGAUAAAGAACUUGGAAUUAGAAUCAAAAGUGAUUUAAGAUAUUUUUUUGUACUCUUGAUGUCUUUGUUUUCAUUUGUUGUUGGAACAAUAACUUCGAUAUGGAUAGAGUGGAACAAAUACAGGGGAAUGAGGAUCAAUAUAGCAGCCAAUUAAUUGUUGCCUUCAGAAUGUUCUCUUAUUGUUGAAGAGUUGAAGCAAACUUCAUUGUGUUUUCAAGUGAGUGGAAAAUUGCAUUUCAGGAAAUAUAUGUGCUGAAACUUGCAUUUGAUGGUAUCUAGCAUGCGAUCAUCACAUUGAAGAAUAAUUUGGAUUUGGGGUACAAUACAUCUAUUAAACAAAUAAAUGUAUGUACUUAAAUGUAACACUAGCUUUUGGUGGUAGUAACUCUCUCUCUCUCAACACAAACAUUUGUAUUCAUGUAAAGCCAUUGUAAUUCACUGUGUAUAGAUAAUGAAAUAGGUAAUUUGAUUGUAACAUCAUUCAAUUGUUGAGAUGAUUAAAUUUGUAUGUCCCACUCUCUAACC